rnacentral:rRNA from 1 species
UACGGGGGGUGCGAGCGUUGUCCGGAAUCACUGGGCGUAAAGGGCGCGUAGGUGGUUUGAUAAGGGUGUGGUGAAAGUCCGGAGCUCAACUCCGGAUCUGCCGUGCCGACUGUCAAACUCGAGAGCUGUAGAGGCAGACGGAAUUCCGGGUGUAGCGGUGGAAUGCGUAGAGAUCCGGAGGAAGACCGGUGGCGAAGGCGGUCUGCUGGGCAGUUUCUGACACUGAUGCGCGACAGCGUGGGGAGCAAACAGG